ACGUACUUCGAGUACGUUUCGGUUCCUGCGCGCCGUCCGCCCAGCCUGACGCCCGCUCGUCACGCUCCCAAUCCAAUGGAGACCAUCUGAUGGCC
rnacentral:sRNA from 1 species